CUUAAUAUUAUUUUAAAGGUUUAAUUUUUAGCAGAACAUUAUGGAUUUUUAUUUGUUUUGAUCAUUGAUUAUCCAUUAAGUAAGUUCUGUGUCUCAGGUGACAUUAAGUAGUUAGUGAUUUUUAGCUUACAAGUAUUAAAUAAUUACAGUGUACCUAUUUAUUUAUUUAACUGGAACCACGUUUAUGGGUGUAUAAGUGGCAUUUGGACUUUAAAAUGGGUUUGACAGUGGAGGCAAUCAGGAAAUGUUAGUUUUUUCUUUCCAUUUUAUAUGUGAUAUAAAUCUUUGUACUUUGCCUAGAACCUGCAUAUCAUUGAGAUGAGUAUUAUUUUUUUAAAUGAAAAAUGACAAUUUAUGAACGUAUAAAUUACUUAGGACUUUAUAUUUAAAUUUUUUUUUGGAGUUCCUCUUUUACUCCCAAGUAAACAAGUAAUCAUUUUUAGCCUUUUGUAAACAUUGCAUUAAAAGAUACAGUGUAUUAAAAUAAAAGGCUAUUUUAAAAAAUGUUGUUGUGUGUCAUAUUCUGUGUCAUUUUAAGUAUUUUUCUUUUUAGGACUUUGUAUUUGUAGGGUUUUCUUUAUUGAAGGGAAGAAGUAUUUUUGAUGUUGAAUUGUUUAGUAUUUAGAUUGAUGUUAGCGAUUUGGAUACCAAAUUUAAUGAAUUGUGGAUAUGUUAACCAUGAAUUCAUAUUUGAGAUGCGUUUUAUUUGAAGAGGUUUCAUUUGUAAGUAUUAGAUAGCAUAAACAGUCUCAUUCUUUUCAGAUAUUUAAACACAGGAUUUGCAACAAGGUAGUGUAAUUCAGUUAAUCCUUUGUUACAUAUCAUGUUUCUGUGCUUUUAAGUUUUGAGUUUUGCUUAAAAUAACACAUUCUUAGACUUUGGCUUUAGGUAUGUUGCUAAAGUGCUUUUUGGGGGUAGAAUAUAUGGCUUUAUCUUUGAGCUGCCUUUGGGGGUUUGGGAUGGGAGGGACACUUAUUUUGACUUUGUACCCUGUUGUACUUCUGUACACUCUACCGAAAAUUAUUUAUCUGUACACACAUACUGCUUUUGUCAAUAAUAGUAUUUUUUAAAAGCACAUACCCAGACAAAGCCACAUGCUUUACAUUAGAAAUAUGUUGCAUAAGGUUUAGUCUUGAACUAAAUUAUUCAGUAUAAGAAUACUACUUUGGGAUAUUUAUAAAUAGUACACAGAUAGUACUUAGACGUUAUAACUCAUCUUUUCAAUAAGUUAUGGCUACCAUUUAAAAAUUAAGAGUCAAGGUAAAAGAGGUCAUAAUAUGCUACUGCUUUGUGAAUGGUAAGCUAAUAUACUUGUGAUUCUGAAUUAGUAAUACUGUUUUCAGUUCUUUCAAAAUUAAGAUUGACUAGACAGGUAUGUGGACUAAAUAAAUCUAAAUAUUUAUAAUUUCUUAGUCUGUAAAGCAGGUAAUUAACAUACUUCUGAAAAUUAAAUGGUCAUUAAAUGCAUACCUAAGACACAAUUGCUUUAAAAAUAUUUUUCAUCUUUGAACCAUAGUAUUUUGAACUUACAUUGUUUUUAAUUUGAUUUUUCAAAAUAGUUUAUGAAUCCUUUUUCCUAGUUAGGUGGGAUCGAGGUCUUAAUCAGUGAUAAGUGAUAAGUAUUUUUCAGUUUUUAAUUAACCUUGUUUGUCUUUGUUAUAUUGAUACAUUAAAACAUGUUCAUUUUUUAAAAUUUUAUUUUUAUGUAUGAAUAUAUAUAAAUUAAUUGGUGUGUUAAAAAUUUUGCUAAGAGUAGUGGCUCCAAGUAGCAUUUUGGUCUUUUUCAGCCAGAUUGAGGAUUUGUCCUUCUUAGUAUACCUUUACCACUCUUUAUAAUAGGUCACCUUUUAAGUUAUAAAAAUAUUUGUUAAAAUUUUUAAAAGAUCCUUAGAUGUCACAGGAGUAGUACAUGAAAGAAAAGAAAGUGGGAUCAUGUCAUAUGCUAGUUGUAUUUUCCUUUUUGAAGAGCUUUGACAUCUAUCAGUGCAUUUAUAGUGGUAUCUUCUCUUCAUCUGUGUAUUUGAAAUGACUGCAUUAUUUUUUAUUAUACGAACAAGUUUGCUUUAUUUCUGUUGGUGGGUGUUUAUUUUUGAUUAUUUUAAGUAGUGCUUGUAGUGAGCAUCCUUGUACGUACCUUCUUGUGUUGAUGAAUGUCACACAUUGAAUGUAUGUGUAGAUUGUUGCUUUUAAUUUGUAGAAAUGGAAUUGUUAAUGUCACAGUGUACACAUACUCAAAAUUUCUAUUGAACUGUCAAGUUGACCGUGCAAAAUGUGUAUUAUUUCAUGUGUGUGUAAAUGCAGAUACUGUAAUUCCUUAAUAUUGUGUGUGUGUCCAGUGCAUGCAUGUGCACACAGAUUUAUGUGUCUUUGAGUGCAGGUGAAAUUGAACAUUUAUCAGGUUCUUAUUAGCUCUUACAAAUUGUGGUUUCAUACCCUUUUUUGUUUUUCUUACUUUGGAGUGAUUUUCUUAUUGGUAAGUUUAUUGUUUUUGCUUUUAAUUAGUAAAAGCUCGGUUUUUAAAUGCUUCAUAGUAUUUAGUCCUGAAAAAGAUUAUUCAUUUUCUAAAAUUAUUUUAGUAUAUUGUCAACAUUUAAAUUUCCCCUCUUUGAAGUGGAAAUUCUCCAUUCACUUGUUGGCUUGAUUUCUUGAACUGUAAGAUUCUGAAAGACAGGGUUAACCGUCUUUUCCAAACAAGGCCUACAGCAGUGAAUGCCUGAACAGCAGGUUUUCAAACAGUACUGAAUAAAUCAGUGAAAGGAAUAAAAACAUGUUUCUAUAUUUGUAUUUUAUUUGUAGUAGUUCAUUCCUGCUGUACACAAAGAGGCACUUCAAGGGGUAGAAAGAAAUGUGAUUUACAUUUUUAGUAGUUUUUUAAAAGAUACUUAUGUGUCGACUCUAAAUUACUGACAGUUUAAGAAUAAUGAAUAUAAAUUAACUGUGUCUUUGCUUCUCCUUUGUUACUGUUGUUAUAUCUUUCUAAAAUAAGCAGUAAGUUUAAGGUACUGAGUGGUUGACUGAAGUAGUGUGGUUUACGUGUUUAUGAGCAGGUCUGGAAAAAGUACAUAACCAUUUGAUACCUAAAGAUUUUUUUUGUCACAUCAUCUUUCUAAGGCAGGUACCGUUGGUUACAACUGAAGAGCACUUUUCAUCUUUUGGCAUGAUAGUCUUUCUGAAUAUUGAAUUUCUUCUCUAAAGUUAUUUUAAUGUACAUGAUUGACCAGAUUUUUCUUAGUGAUAAAAGCUUUCACAUUGUUGGUUUUUUUUUUUUUAAUUUUUAAUUUUUAUUAACUUAUAAUGUGUUAUACAUUAAUGUUUUAUAUGUGUGUUGCUUACACACAGAUUGCGCUUGAAAAUUUCUGCACCUGAGAGUGUGCCUCUUCAUACUUUUUUAAAAGGUCAUGUAAGAGAUUUUUGUAUCUUAAAUCUGAAUCAUAGAUUUAAAGCAUAAUCCUAUUUUGAUUUUGUAUUGUUUGCUUUACAGUUAGCUUAAGAUUAUUCAGGGAUGAGAGAAUAGGUUCUAGCUAUUUGUUACUUUGUUCUCUUACUUCCUUUGACCUAUUUUAUUGCUGCUUCCAGAAUUCUCUUCAGUUGUUUAGGAGAAAUAGAGCUUUUGUGUCAGUAUUUGUUGACCAUAUUAAAUCUUUUAGCUAAAUGUGUUUAUUUCCAUUUUCUUCACUGUCUUUCACUUAGCAUAACUAGUUGAGAAUUGGAAUUAUUUAGUAGCCUUCCCUCCUCCAACCUCACCUUGCCUUGUCCUUUGAUCAUAUGGUUUGAUUUGAUGUUCUAAUAAAAUGUUUUAAAUUGAAAGGUAGGAUACAGCAAAAGUCCAGAUUUUUUUCUUGACAUUUUUGAUUUGAUGCCAGAACAAGACAGUUCAGACUACUGUAGGCACUAUAAGAGAUUAUUAACUUGAAUGAAAGUGUUGACUGUUGCUACAUACUUAUUUUGGGAUGGGGAGUGGUACAGAUACUAGUUUAUAAUUACUUAGCAUUAUUUAAAGAGGCUACUUCAUUUUAUUAAUUGUUUGUACUUGUCAUUUUACAUUGAUGUUUUCAGUAAAUCUCAAUUUCUGACAUUUGAUUUGAGGUAGAAAAUAUAUACAUAACGAUAUUUAAGUAUGUUUAUAUUUGUACACAUGUAAAGCCUGAGUACUGAUAGAGAUAUUGUGUAGAUACUAAGAUAAAGAUAAUAUCAGUGAUAUUUCCAGUGAUAUUUCUGACUUUUGUAGGACUUAAGAGUACACAAAACUGAACCUGUUUGUUCAGCCUUAGAUAACUGAGAUAGAUAUAUAGAGAUAUUUUAUUUUAUUUUAUUUUCUUAGUGGUAACUGAGAUACAUUUAAGCUAGUUUUUACCUGAAUAGUUCAGGUCAGAUUUAAGUGAUUUUGUUAACUAAGGCAUAGUACAAAUGUAGCCAUUCAUAGAAAAUAAGGACAUAGUAAAAAUGACAUCUUUAUGCGUAAAACUGAAGUUGAGCUGGCUGUUUUAGUAUUUUUCAUAACAGGAUGUCUGAUUUUAUGGUUAUCUCUUCGCUUUUAUACUCAAACGGCCUCUGUGUUAUAUUUUAUAUUCCUCUCUUUUUCAUGAGGAAAGUUGCUUGCAUUGGAAAGGAAUAAGGUAAUCAGUUAUCUGAUUUUAUCUUAAAUUCUGAAUUAAGUGCACAUUUUUCUUCUCUGAAUGUCUUCUUUCCAACUGAAUACCUGUAUAUAUUCAGAAUGUUUGUAUACAUUGGUAUACAUUCAGAAUAUUUGUACAUUUUAAUGAUGAAACAUUAAAUAGACUAAGAUAAAUUUUAGUCAGACUGUAAUCUCAGCUUAAAAUACAAGAUAGGAAAUUCUUCCUUGAGGUGUUGGCCUUAUUGUCUAAAAUUUCUUUCUAUUAAAAGUAGCAUUGGAUUGCUAAUUCAUGGUUUGAUGUCUUUCCCUGAUAUUCAGCCCCUUUCAUGAUACUGAAUUCUCAUUAAGAUUUACGCAUAUUUACGCAUGUAAAGGGUUGGGCAUACAGAGGGAGAGAGAAUCUCAAACAGGCUCCACACCCGGUUCAGAGCUUGAUCCCUGAGAUCAAUCUAUGAGAUAGAUCUCAUGACCCUGAAAUCUUGACCUGAGCUGAAAUCAAGAGUUGCUGCUUAACUCACUGAGCCACCCAGGAGCCCUAAUACUUUUUUUUAAUUCAGUGAAUGGGAACAAUUGCAGUCAAAUUCAGAUACUAUAACUAAUGUAAAACGUGUUAGUUGCUCUCCUUGGAAUUUAAAGGAGUAUUUUAAAAGAUAGAGAUAAACGUUUGGUUUUGUUCCUCUAUAGUUGGUCUUUGGGGUGUUUAUGCUUUCUGCAGCCUUCAUCAAUUAAUGGGUUAAGAUCAGGAUGAUGAUAGGAACUAAGAUUUAAUGAAUACCUUAUAAAAUAUUUCAGGCACUGUUUAAAUGGUUUAUAUACAUUAUAUUUUAUUUAGUCUUCAUGAUAAUCAGUAGUGAGAAGUAUACGUUCAGAAUCCCUGUUUCCUAGAUAUGGACAUGAAACUUUAAGAGAGAUAAAUUCAACUUGGACAGUUUCUCAGUGGGCUAGUGAGUAUGCCUUUUUAUCCACACUACCUUAUAAUUUGUACAUCAAAAGUAGACUGGACGUCAGUGUUCUAUAGUGUUUCUGGGUGAUACCAUUUGAAAGGACUUGUCACUUUUGGAUCCUUUACUUGAUGUGGGGUUUUUUCCCUCCCAAGUUUUAGUGGAUUUCGUGGACACCUUUUUUUUUUUUUUUUUUUUUUUUUUAAGUUGAAAAGUUGAAAAGCCUUGCUAGUCCUGUUCCAUGUUUCCCCCCACCCAGUUCUUUAUGUAAUCUUAGUUUUUAUCUUAGGAUGGCAGGGAAAUAAGUAAUAUAUUGCAGAGUAAACAAUCUGUUCUAUUUGAAAUAACCCCAAAUGUUUUCUAUUAAAUUAUUUUAUAGUAUAUUGUUCCAAUGAAUAUCCUUCCGAUUUCCCCAAAUUUAGGG